rnacentral:piRNA from 1 species
UAGAGGAACAAGGCUGCCAAGAAGUCUCA